rnacentral:rRNA from 1 species
AAUAGAUACCCGGGUAGUCCACGCCCUAAACGAUGCGAACUAGGUGUUGGGGAAGGAGACUUCUUUAGUACCGUAGCUAACGCGUGAAGUUCGCCGCCUGGGGAGUACGGUCGCAAGAUUAAAACUCAAAGGAAUUGACGGGGACCCGCACAAGCGGUGGACGAUGUGGAUUAAUUCGAUGCAACGCGAAAAACCUUACCUACCCUUGACAUGUCCGGAACCCUGGUGAGAGCCGGGGGUGCCCGAAAGGGAAUCGGAACACAGGUGCUGCAUGGCUGUCGUCAGCUCGUGUCGUGAGAUGUUGGGUUAAGUCCCGCAACGAGCGCAACCCUUGCCACUAAUUGCCAUCAUUUGGUUGGGCACUUUAGUGGGACUGCCGGUGACAAACCGGAGGAAGGUGGGGAUGACGUCAAGUCCUCAUGGCCCUUAUGGGUAGGGCUUCACACGUCAUACAAUGGUCGGUACAGAGGGUUGCCAAGCCGCGAGGUGGAGCCAAUCCCAGAAAGCCGAUCGUAGUCCGGAUCGCAGUCUGCAACUCGACUGCGUGAAGUCGGAA